UUUAAUUAAUAUUAUUCCCAAAAUAUCGUGUUUUUUCCAUUGGAAUUUAGAACCUUCAUCGCUCUAUAUAAGGAGCUUGAGUCACCAACAAAUACGAUUGUUUGCAUAUUCCAUUUUUUUGCUAGGGUUCAGUUGCUUUUGUUUUUCUAUUUCUUCCAGUUUACGAUUUUAUUGUCUAAUAUAUUCUGUUUUUGUUCUGCAUAACUCGAAAGUGUGAUCAGUUGCUGCGGUAUAAGGAGCUCAUGAAUAUUUAAACGGUUAUUCCGGAGCUUCGUGUCCGUGAUAGUAAACUCAUACAGGUAUAGAAUCGUGAAAUCCUAUUUUUUGGUAUUUUUGGUAUUUGUUUUCUUGAUUUUGUUUUGAUUUUUACUGAUUUUGUUUGAAGAUGCUGAUGAUAUCUCCCCGCAAAAGACAGUGUUAAAGAUUUUUCUAUUUAUGGAGUUUCCAAUGUUCAAAACCAGUAUAUGUUUCGUGUUUUUUUUUUGUUCUAAUGUUGAAUCCAUAUCCGCGUGAAUCACACACAAUCUACAAUUUGAAAUAUAGAUUGGAUAUGAAACAGAAGUGUAUAAUCCGUGAAUGGGCGUGAAUCACACACAGUCUACAAUUUGAAAUAUAAACUGGAUGUGAAACAGAAGUGUAUGGAGAUAUGAUUUCUAAAAUAUUUCUUCUGUUCAAAGUUUCGAUCUCCAGUUAAAUAACAACGGAUCAAAAGACAGGUCUUUUGGUGAAAUGCAUUCAAGCUGUGGCAAAAAAAGAAAAAAAAAACACUUCUAGGAGUUCAUACGGAUGAUGAGAAAAGAAAACGAAAAUUGUCGAUAAAAUAAGAGAUCAUAUAUCUUUCAUCAAUAUUGCAAAUCAACUGACCAUGGAGACUCAACAAAGUAUCAACAUGCAAUAAUAAACAUGUACAUAUUUCCAUGGUUGAUAACGGUUUUUCUUUUCAUGGAAAACAACUUAGAUUCAACGGUAUCUGGUAUCUGUUUGGUUCCGUUUUAACUGGAUUUCUUUUGUUCUUAAUUCUCAAUGACAAAACCAGCAUGCGUUCAUCAAGCAUGUGUAUGCUUUCUUCAUACUUCAUCUUGAGAAUAAGAAAAGAAAUUGAAUUCCACUGGGGUUAGCCUUACCAGCAAUGUUUGUCAUCAUGGGAGGGUUGAAUCCAACAACAUGGGAACUUCUUUCAAACACUAUUUGUAAUUCUAUACAGCUAUCCUGUUGGUUUCUCAAGGUGUUCGGUGUAGUAAGUGGGAGUCAUAUACAAAAUGCUCAUAUAUAUAUAUAUUCCUAUGAAGGUUUAAGUAUACUGUUUCCGUCACAAUAUGAUAUCAACGUAGUGUAUUUCCCUCAAAAAACAAACAAACAAACAAGGUAGUGUAUCCAUGUGAAUCAAAUGUAAGUUGUGAGGUUGGGCAUAUGGGACUGGAAACUGAAGAUCUCUAUUGGUACUUGGGCUAAACUCCACCCGUAGCAUACAUCAUUUUGAAUGAGGUACGUAAAUACAGAGUUUUGGACUAGCGACUAGCCUGUGCAUUAUUUGGUACAUCUUGGCAUGUUUUUUUAUUUAAGAAUUUGCGAAAUGGAUGAUCCAUUUGAUGGCAAAAAGUUCCUGUAUAGAGGUUUUAGUGGAUGGUGUUAAGUAGAGGACAAACAUUGAAAAAGCCAAUAAACAUAUUGUUGUUGUAGUGGAUGGUGUUAAGUAGAGGACAAACAUUGAAAAAGCCAAUAAGCAUAUUGUUUAAUUUAUUACUUUAAAAUGAUGCAGGUAAUUUGAUUUCAGAAAUAGCCUUUUGUUUUAAGGUUCUAGUUUAUAUGGUCAACUAACAUUUUCUCAAAUCUAUCCGUAUCUGUAGUAGCACAAAUAACAUUUUCAUGGUUUAUUUUUUAAACCAACCACCAAAGCACUAAGAUGCCGUUACAAUAUCACUCUAUCAUUGUUUGGUAUACAAUUUAAUGACCUUUGCUGAUACGUUGAAGCUACGCAAGACAAAGGUACAUGCUGAUAAUCAUAAAUUAGAAGGAAAUUUUGGAAAUGAAGAGCUUUGAUGAAACAUAUAUCUAACUAAAAAUAGUCUUCGAAUUUCAGUCAUCAGAGAAUUUCAGAAUUUUUAAAGAAUUCAAUAAUAUAUUUAGCAUCUUUAAGUCAUAGCUACCGGUUUUCAUUUUAUUUUUUUGGUACAGAAAGUUUAAUGAGUGUUGUAAAAUUAUCAGGUAAGAUUUUCAAAUGUAUUUGCAACUAUUUAGUGAUCAUGAGGUAGUUAAUCAGAAUUGUUUUGGGAAACGGCAGAGACUUAAAGGAUGAGUAUCCAAGGGUUUUUAAGAUUAAUUUGUCAAAUUAGCAGGCUAUUGUUAGUGAAAGGACGUGUGGUGAUUGACAGUUUAGAGCCUCACGCUCCCUACAUGAAUACAUCCAGUUGAAAGUAUCAGUUUUUAUGCUACUUGAGCACGAGCUGUCUUGCAAGAUGGGGAUAUUCUGGAUUCGAAUAUACCAAGCUACAUAAUUAGCUAAGAAUCAUACGUUAAAGAAACUUCUUUGCCAUGUUUAGUGGUAGAUCAAAUCAAAAUAUUCUUCCGCACAAGUUCAUUAUUUCCACAUGGAAGGAAUCCGGAGUAAAAUCAUCAUUGUGUACCAAAAACGCUGAUGAUAGAGAUUUUUUCCGUAUCGUUCGUUGGUGUGAAAGAGUAGAACACGAGAAUCUUUCGCAACACCUAAAUUUUCUGCAAUGACAUCAACGUAAUAUUCGUUGGAAGAAUAUUAAGAGACAGCGGCUGGACAGUCUUCUCAAGAGAGCAAGGAAUCGCAUAUGUAUGGCUACAACAAACUCCAUAACUCACCCUAAAACCCACGGGUACAGUAGAAUCACUUACUGUACAUAUGGUGUUCAUCCGUAGCCUUCUCCAGUCCCCUUACAAAACUUUCGGUAUUGGGUUAGCCAUGCACUUCACAUGUUUCUAGCGAUUCACAUGGCAUCAUCAAAUGAUACAAGUCUUGGACUGUAUAUACAUAUGGUAUUCAUCCGUUCAUGUCUUAUUGAUCUUGGAUACACGUCCAUAUAGACACUCAUUCAUGCAGUAAUUCAAUAUUAAAAAUCAUGAAGAAAAUCUUAAGGAACUAAAUAUAAAAGUUAAUGCGUCACUGUAAUUAUCAAUUAUCAAAGACGAUGUAAAGUUUCUCUG